rnacentral:tRNA from 1 species
GAGAAUGUAGCUCAGUUGGUAGAGCACACGCCUUUUAAGCGCGAGGUCGAGGGUUCGAGCCCCUCCAUUCUCA